UUUAAUGUCAUCAGUGAAGUAGUUGUCCCACCAAUGUUUUAUCAUACCAGUGAAACCUGAUACGAUCAUGGUAGCUGCUUCCUUAUCAGUGGCUCCUCUAAUUUUGUAAGCCGUGAUGGAUACACCCAUUUCAUGGAGUUUGUUGUAAAUUUGGUGUUCAGCCAAACCGUCAACAUUCCAUUCAGUUAUUCCUCUACCAUCAUGGUUGAAAGUUGAGAGGUAGGGAUUUUCUUCAAAUUGGACGUCUGGAGGAGAGGGUUUUUUAUAAUAGUUUUACUCAGCAUGAGCAGCUAAGUACAUAAGUCUGUUAUAAAGCCAUUAAGACUUGAUUAGAUCCUAUAAGCCUUAGAUGUAUUGUUAUAAUUUAUUAUAAGUUAAACCAUAUCACAGAAGAUAUCAUCUUAGGGAUACCUUUCAUCAACCAGAUUCGACCUUACUGGAGUGACUACGACGGAAUUCGUACAACUCUUUUAAACUAGAACUUAUUUUUCCCUUUAUUGAGGCCCCUCUCGCAAGAAGAAGGUAACUUUAUUAAAAAAUUAACUGUUUUUAAAAUUAACCGACUUUCUUCCCAUAUCAAUUUUCUUAAAAAAGAUAUUCACAUAAAGAAAAUUGAGCAGUCUUUAAAAACCCAGGAGAUGAUUACUAAAGUAUCUAAUCUCCACAAAAAUUUUGAAAAUGAAAUCUAUUCUGAAUUUCCUAAUGCUUUUUGGGAACGGAAAAAACACUUAGUAGAACUUCUUUACAUUUCCGGGUUUGACAAACAAACUAUUCCUACUAAAGCCAGACCCAUUCAAAUGAACCAAGGAAUGAUGGAAAUCUGCAAAAAAGGAAAUUGACCAUCUUCUAAAGAAUGAUAUUAUUAGAACCUCUAAUUCCCCAUGGAGUUGCUCUACCAUUUAUGUCAAUAACAGUGCAGAAAAGGAGCGAGGAACCCCUAGGCUUGUAAUAAAUUACAAGCCUUUGAACGCGGUAUUAAAAUGGAUCAGACAUCCAAUUCCUAAUAAAAGGGAUCUAUUAAAAAGAACUUUCAAAGCUAAUCUUUACAGUAAAUUUGAUAUAAAGUCCGGGUUCUGGCAAAUUCAAAUUGCUGAGAAAGAUAAAUACAAGACGACUUUUAAUGUCCCAUUUGGACAUUAUGAGUGGAACGUCUUGCCCUUAAGUCUUAAAAAUGCUCCUUCAGUGUUUCAAAACAUCAUGAACAAUAUCUUCAAUCGUUAUACCUAUAUGUCAAUUGUUUAUAUUGAUGAUGUGCUUAUUUUUUCGGAGAACAUUGAUUCCCAUUUUAAACAUUUAAACACUUUCUUCAAAAUUGUUAAAUUUAAUGGUUUGGUCGUUAGUGCCAAGAAAAUUAAGCUCUUCCAUACUUCUAUAAGAUUCUUAGGGCAUGAUCUUUAUCAAGGUAUUUAUAAACCUAUUUGUAGAGCCAUUGAGUUCUCCUCCAAAUUCCCUAAUGAAAUUAUUGAUAAGACUCAGCUCUAAAGGUUUCUAGGAAGUCUUAAUUAUGUUGCGGACUUCAUUCCUAAUAUUAGGCAGGUCUGUGAACUUCUUUAAAAAAGACUCAAGAAAACCCCAGUUCCUUGGAGUUCUAAUCAAACCAAUGCUGUCAUUAAGAUUAAAGAAUUAGUCCAAAACCUUAAUUUUGGUUCUAACCUUCUCUGCAAACAGAGAGGGGAGACCACUAAUGAAUCAUUCCUUCCAAAAAUCAUUGUUGCAAUCAGGUCGGAUCAUGACCUUUACUAAAAAGGUAUCUUUGUACCACCUAAAGUCUGCUAGGUCUUUGUAGGUGAGAUUGUUAAGGAUUUCUAAGCUCCUAUAUUGGAAUAAUUUGGGCUCUCCUAUGAAAUGUCUUGCUAUGUGGUAUAGGAGAGUGGCAUACGCAUCUUCUUUUGCGACUUGCUCUAGAACUUCUUGGCCAUUUUCACUCUUGACCACUGUUUCUAUGGCCGUGGCUCCAUAGAUAAGGUUUUUAAUGUCAUCAGUGAAGUAGUUGUCCCACCAAUAUUUUAUCAUACCAGUGAAACCUGAUACGAUCAUGGUAGCUGCGUCCUUAUCAGUGGCUCCUCUAAUUUUGUAAGCCGUGAUGGAUACACCUAUUUCAUGGAGUUUGUUGUAAAUUUGGUGUUCAGCCAAACCGUCAACAUUCCAUUCAGUUAUUCCUUUACCAUCAUGGUUGAAAGUUGAGAGGUAGGGAUUUUCUUUAAAUUGGACGUCUGGAGGAGAGGGUUUUUUAUAAUAGUUUUUCUUAGUGGAAAAACGAUCACUGGUGAGUUUAGAUAGCGAGUUUUUUAGGUUGCUG
rnacentral:lncRNA from 1 species